rnacentral:rRNA from 1 species
AUUGAACGCAGGCGGCAUGCCUUACACAUGCAAGUCGAACGGCAGCACGGGAGCAAUCCUGGUGGCGAGUGGCGAACGGGUGAGUAAAGUAUCGGAACGUGCCCAGUCGUGGGGGAUAACGUAGCGAAGGUUACGCUAAUACCGCAUACGAUCUAUGGAUGAAAGCGGGGGAUCGCAAGACCUCGCGCGAUUGGAGCGGCCGAUAUCAGAUUAGGUAGUUGGUGGGGUAAAGGCUCACCAAGCCGACGAUCUGUAGCUGGUCUGAGAGGACGACCAGCCACACUGGGACCGAGACACGGCCCAGACUCCUACGGGAGGCAGCAGUGGGGAAUUUUGGACAAUGGGCGAAAGCCUGAUCCAGCCAUGCCGCGUGCAGGAUGAAGGCCUUCGGGUUGUAAACUGCUUUUGUACGGAACGAAAAGGUUUGGCCUAAUAAGCUGAGCUCAUGACGGUACCGUAAGAAUAAGCACCGGCUAACUACGUGCCAGCCGCCGCGGUAA